GCGAUGAAGGACGUGCUAAUCUGCGAUAAGCGUCGGUAAGGUGAUAUGAACCGUUAUAACCGGCGAUUUCCGAAUGGGGAAACCCAGUGUGAUUCGUCACACUAUCAUUAACUGAAUCCAUAGGUUAAUGAGGCGAACCGGGGGAACUGAAACAUCUAAGUACCCCGAGGAAAAGAAAUCAACCGAGAUUCCCCCAGUAGCGGCGAGCGAACGGGGAGCAGCCCAGAGCCUGAAUCAGUGUGUGUGUUAGUGGAAGCGUCUGGAAAGGCGCGCGAUACAGGGUGACAGCCCCGUACACAAAAAUGCACAUACUGUGAGCUCGAUGAGUAGGGCGGGACACGUGGUAUCCUGUCUGAAUAUGGGGGGACCAUCCUCCAAGGCUAAAUACUCCUGACUGACCGAUAGUGAACCAGUACCGUGAGGGAAAGGCGAAAAGAACCCCGGCGAGGGGAGUGAAAAAGAACCUGAAACCGUGUACGUACAAGCAGUGGGAGCCUCUUUUAUGGGGUGACUGCGUACCUUUUGUAUAAUGGGUCAGCGACUUAUAUUCUGUAGCAAGGUUAACCGAAUAGGGGAGCCGAAGGGAAACCGAGUCUUAACCGGGCGUUAAGUUGCAGGGUAUAGACCCGAAACCCGGUGAUCUAGCCAUGGGCAGGUUGAAGGUUGGGUAACACUAACUGGAGGACCGAACCGACUAAUGUUGAAAAAUUAGCGGAUGACUUGUGGCUGGGGGUGAAAGGCCAAUCAAACCGGGAGAUAGCUGGUUCUCCCCGAAAGCUAUUUAGGUAGCGCCUCGUGAAUUCAUCUCCGGGGGUAGAGCACUGUUUCGGCAAGGGGGUCAUCCCGACUUACCAACCCGAUGCAAACUGCGAAUACCGGAGAAUGUUAUCACGGGAGACACACGGCGGGUGCUAACGUCCGUCGUGAAGAGGGAAACAACCCAGACCGCCAGCUAAGGUCCCAAAGUCAUGGUUAAGUGGGAAACGAUGUGGGAAGGCCCAGACAGCCAGGAUGUUGGCUUAGAAGCAGCCAUCAUUUAAAGAAAGCGUAAUAGCUCACUGGUCGAGUCGGCCUGCGCGGAAGAUGUAACGGGGCUAAACCAUGCACCGAAGCUGCGGCAGCGACACUGUGUGUUGUUGGGUAGGGGAGCGUUCUGUAAGCCUGUGAAGGUGUGCUGUGAGGCAUGCUGGAGGUAUCAGAAGUGCGAAUGCUGACAUAAGUAACGAUAAAGCGGGUGAAAAGCCCGCUCGCCGGAAGACCAAGGGUUCCUGUCCAACGUUAAUCGGGGCAGGGUGAGUCGACCCCUAAGGCGAGGCCGAAAGGCGUAGUCGAUGGGAAACAGGUUAAUAUUCCUGUACUUGGUGUUACUGCGAAGGGGGGACGGAGAAGGCUAUGUUGGCCGGGCGACGGUUGUCCCGGUUUAAGCGUGUAGGCUGGUUUUCCAGGCAAAUCCGGAAAAUCAAGGCUGAGGCGUGAUGACGAGGCACUACGGUGCUGAAGCAACAAAUGCCCUGCUUCCAGGAAAAGCCUCUAAGCAUCAGGUAACAUCAAAUCGUACCCCAAACCGACACAGGUGGUCAGGUAGAGAAUACCAAGGCGCUUGAGAGAACUCGGGUGAAGGAACUAGGCAAAAUGGUGCCGUAACUUCGGGAGAAGGCACGCUGAUAUGUAGGUGAAGUCCCUCGCGGAUGGAGCUGAAAUCAGUCGAAGAUACCAGCUGGCUGCAACUGUUUAUUAAAAACACAGCACUGUGCAAACACGAAAGUGGACGUAUACGGUGUGACGCCUGCCCGGUGCCGGAAGGUUAAUUGAUGGGGUCAGCGCAAGCGAAGCUCUUGAUCGAAGCCCCGGUAAACGGCGGCCGUAACUAUAACGGUCCUAAGGUAGCGAAAUUCCUUGUCGGGUAAGUUCCGACCUGCACGAAUGGCGUAAUGAUGGCCAGGCUGUCUCCACCCGAGACUCAGUGAAAUUGAACUCGCUGUGAAGAUGCAGUGUACCCGCGGCAAGACGGAAAGACCCCGUGAACCUUUACUAUAGCUUGACACUGAACAUUGAGCCUUGAUGUGUAGGAUAGGUGGGAGGCUUUGAAGUGUGGACGCCAGUCUGCAUGGAGCCGACCUUGAAAUACCACCCUUUAAUGUUUGAUGUUCUAACGUGGACCCGUGAUCCGGGUUGCGGACAGUGUCUGGUGGGUAGUUUGACUGGGGCGGUCUCCUCCUAAAGAGUAACGGAGGAGCACGAAGGUUGGCUAAUCCUGGUCGGACAUCAGGAGGUUAGUGCAAUGGCAUAAGCCAGCUUGACUGCGAGCGUGACGGCGCGAGCAGGUGCGAAAGCAGGUCAUAGUGAUCCGGUGGUUCUGAAUGGAAGGGCCAUCGCUCAACGGAUAAAAGGUACUCCGGGGAUAACAGGCUGAUACCGCCCAAGAGUUCAUAUCGACGGCGGUGUUUGGCACCUCGAUGUCGGCUCAUCACAUCCUGGGGCUGAAGUAGGUCCCAAGGGUAUGGCUGUUCGCCAUUUAAAGUGGUACGCGAGCUGGGUUUAGAACGUCGUGAGACAGUUCGGUCCCUAUCUGCCGUGGGCGCUGGAGAACUGAGGGGGGCUGCUCCUAGUACGAGAGGACCGGAGUGGACGCAUCACUGGUGUUCGGGUUGUCAUGCCAAUGGCACUGCCCGGUAGCUAAAUGCGGAAGAGAUAAGUGCUGAAAGCAUCUAAGCACGAAACUUGCCCCGAGAUGAGUUCUCCCUGACCCUUUAAGGGUCCUGAAGGAACGUUGAAGACGACGACGUUGAUAGGCCGGGUGUGUAAGCGCAGCGAUGCGUUGAGCUAACCGGUACUAAUGAACCGUGAGGCUUAACCUUACAACGCCGAAGGUGUUU
rnacentral:rRNA from 1 species